GGCGGGAAGAAGCGCCAUUUUGAGGCGACAAAGGUAGAGGAGUGCAGAGUGUGAGUGGCUCAGCGCUGAGGCAGACGUGGGGGCACGAGCUUUUUUUUUUUAAACCCCCCAUUUGAAACAAAAUAAAAUUAGUCGACCGGUUAAGAUAUUUUAGUCUUGCGUGCUCUGACAGUUAUUUUUGUGGGGAAGUAUGAGUUACGGCAGGCCGCCGCCUGAUGUAGAGGGUAUGACUUCACUUAAAGUGGAUAAUCUAACUUACCGCACCUCUCCGGAGACGCUGCGUCGUGUCUUUGAGAAAUAUGGCCGUGUGGGAGAUGUGUACAUACCCCGCGACCGCUACACUAAAGAGAGCCGAGGCUUCGCAUUCGUGCGUUUUCACGAUAAGCGCGACGCAGAAGACGCAAUGGAUGGAAUGGACGGUGCAGUUUUAGACGGCAGAGAGUUGCGAGUUCAGAUGGCUCGAUACGGAAGACCACCCGAAUCCCACCAUGGUAGGCGCGGUGGCCCACCCCGGCGGUAUGGCAGCUACGGGGGAAGAAGAACUAGUAGAAGCCCUCGACGUCGUCGGAGAAGUCGGUCCAGAAGCAGGAGCAGAUCUAGGUCCCGCAGUCGGUCACGAUACAGCAGAUCCAGGUCUCGCUCCUACUCUCGUUCUCGGUCACGCUCCAAAUCCCGGACUCCACGCAGAACCAAGUCAAAGUCCAAGUCUCCAUCCAGAUCUCGCUCCAGAUCGAAGUCCCGUUCCAGAUCCCGCAGUAGAACACCAGCAUCAGUCAGGGAGUCCAAGUCCCGGUCUAGAUCCAAGAGUUUGCCCAAGUCCCCGGAAGAAGAAGGAGCAGUGUCCUCAUAAAUGCUGCUGUUUCCUGUUUGCAAAAAAAGGAGUUGGGGGCAGUUUGUGCAGAGUUAGAGAUUGUGUGAUCCGCCCUGGGGCCGCCUCCAGCUGUUGGGGUAUGCUUUGGAGCAGGUUGGUCAGAAUCAGUAUUGAGUUGGUGUUUGAGGUACGUCUUCUGGACAAUGAAGAAGCCUUGCAUUGUCCUUUUAACGGCCAUGGCAUUGGGCUGACAUUCUUAAUCUGGAGAAAAGACUUUUCAGGAGAACAGCGGGAUCGAUUGAGGACAUCACUACGAAAGUAAAAGACCUCAAAGUCUAAGCCACCUUGUAAUUUCGGCUGACUUGAAAAGGUUAUUAUUGUAAUAGUUUAUGGCUUCAGAUUGCUUUCUUUUUUUUUUUAGGCUGCUUGUUUAAUAAAUGGCAGAUUAUCUUUUGUGCCAUUCUGUCAAUUUAUUGUAAUAUGUUAAAUGAAAAGGUAAUGCAAAUGUUCUGCAACUGCCUAAUUUGGUGUUGAUUCUGAACUAAUGAGGUUUAUGUUCUCAAGAAUACCAUUGAAUUUCCCGAUUCCUGUUUGCUCUUUCCAAACGGGAGGAAAGAGGCACAUGUGGCAUAGUUUUUGUUUGAAAGCUAGAUAACAUUGACUUUCAGAAGCUGAACAAAGGCUAUUACACUUGUGCUUUACUGAACUGAAAUUGUUGAUGGGUGUCUGUAUGGUAGCUUUUUAAGAUGUUACACAAUAAUGUAAAGAGCAAAUGUUGCAGAACUAGAAUUAGCUGGCUCAGAUCAUUUUUAUAGGUAGCUGUGGAGGGUUUAAAUUUGACUCAAGUGCUGAAGAGUAAACCUUUUUGUGUUUUUUUUUUUUUUUUUUCAUUUUAAAGUAUAAUUGCCAUUCUAAUCUCUUUUCUUGUGUAUUUUUUGUGCACUAGGCGCAGUUGUGUAGCAGUUCAGUAUUGCUGGUUAGCUGUUAAGGUGGCGUGUUGCAGUGCAGAGUGCUUGGCUGUUUCCAGUUUUCACCUGAUUGCUCCUGUGUAAUGAAUGAUGCCUUGGCGUGCAGGUACACAAUGGCUGCCGCAGUAAAAAAAUUUUUUUUUUUUUCCUUCAUUCAAUGUCCUGCUCUUUGAUACCAGGGCCAUUUUAAUUUUUUCCCCUAGUUUGGAGCAUACAGUGAGCACAUCUAGCCAUUACUUCUAUUUUUAAGAAUUGUUAAUGUGUAUCUUGGAAAGUUUUACAGUUAACAUUACUGCUCUUACUGCAUUCCUUUUGUAAUGUUAAGACAGUUCUGUACUUGUAACCACUGUUCUGUGAAUGCUAUUAAAAGUCAGUCUUUCUUAA